rnacentral:rRNA from 1 species
UGGGGAAUCUUGCACAAUGGGGUCACCCCUGAUGCAGCCAUGCCGCGUGGAGGAAGACACCCCUAUGGGGCGUAAACUCCUUUUCUGAAUGAAGAAACCCCUGUAGCUUCAGGGCGCGACGGUAGUUCAGGAAUAAGCACCGGCUAACUCCGUGCCAGCAGCCGCGGUAAUACGGAGGGUGCAAGCGUUGUCCGGAAUCACUGGGCGUAAAGGGUGCGCAGGCGGGGCAGCAAGUCGGAGGUGAAAGCCCGUGGCUCAACCAUUGAAGUGCCUUCGAUACUGUUGCUCUUGAGUCCCGGAGAGGUUGUCGGAAUUCGUGGUGUAGCGGUGAAAUGCGUAGAUAUCACGAGGAACACCAGAGGCGAAAGCGGACAACUGGACGGGUACUGACGCUCAGGCACGAAAGCGUGGGGAGCAAACA